GACGAACGCUGGCGGCGUGCUUAACACAUGCAAGUCGAACGGUAAGGCCCUUCGGGGUACACGAGUGGCGAACGGGUGAGUAACACGUGGGUGAUCUGCCCUGCACUUCGGGAUAAGCCUGGGAAACUGGGUCUAAUACCGGAUAGGACUCCUGGCUUCAUGGUUGGGGGUGUAAAGCUUUUGCGGUGUGGGAUGGGCCCGCGGCCUAUCAGCUUGUUGGUGGGGUAAUGGCCUACCAAGGCGACGACGGGGUAGCCGGCCUGAGAGGGUGACCGGCCACACUGGGACUGAGAUACGGCCCAGACUCCUACGGGAGGCAGCAGUGGGGAAUAUUGCACAAUGGGCGCAAGCCUGAUGCAGCGACGCCGCGUGAGGGAUGACGGCCUUCGGGUUGGUAAACCUCUUUCAAUAGGACGAAGCGCAAGUGACGGUACC
rnacentral:rRNA from 1 species